CGUAGUAAUGGCGGCCGAUUCGGGAGGUUUAAAGUUUGACGUGGUUUUUAUUUUUUUAUUUAUAUUUUUUAACGCAUUUCCAAUAAAAUGGGCACGAAACGAGAGGAAGUGAACGGAAAACUUAAGUCGCGACAUUAUGCCGAAAGGGGGCAGAAAGGGAAGUGGCAAACAUCUGGUAAUUGAUCAGCCAGCCGAUGUGACAUUGGACGAUUUUGCCAACAGCAAAAUAUCGACGACUAGAGUCAGAAAACCGACCACAAACUUUUUGGCUAGAGAAGUGAAGAAUUUAAAAUCGGUUGAUAAAUUGUGGUACGAAAAGGAUCUGGAAGAAUUUGACGAUGAUUU